rnacentral:rRNA from 1 species
UACGUAGGGGGCGAGCGUUGUCCGGAGUUACUGGGCGUAAAGCGCUUGUAGGCGGUCCACCAAGUUUGGGGUGACAGUUGCCGACUUAAUCGGCAAAGUGCCUCAAAGACUGGCGGACUUGAGGGCCACAGAGGGACAUGGAACUCCAGGUGUAGUGGUGAAAUGCAUAGAUAUCUGGAAGAACACCAAAGGCGAAGGCAGUGUCCUGGGUGGUCGCUGACGCUGAGAGGCGAAAGCCAGGGGAGCGAACGGG